UACAGAGGGGGCAAGCGUUGUUCGGAAUUACUGGGCGUAAAGGGCGCGUAGGUGGCCUUCUAAGUUGAACGUGAAAUCCCUGGGCUCAACCCAGGAACUGCGUCCAAGACUGGGAGGCUUGAAUCCGGGAGAGGGAUGCGGAAUUCCAGGUGUAGCGGUGAAAUGCGUAGAUAUCUGGAGGAACACCGGUGGCGAAGGCGGCAUCCUGGACCGGCAUUGACGCUGAGGCGCGAAAGCCAGGGGAGCAAACGGG
rnacentral:rRNA from 1 species